UGUACUGAUGCAUGCAAGUCAGAAAGGUUAUAUACAUAUGAGGUUAUAAUUAUUCAUUUUAUUUCUAUCAAACUUUCAGAUUUGCUUUCCUCCAGCACCCCUCCUCCAUUCACAUUUGGUUAAUAUGCAAAGGUAAUGCAUUUUAUUGAAGAAAUGAGGAAGGUCUGCGUUAAGUCACAUCUGCUUCAGAACUCAGUUGACUCCCCACCAGCUGGAAUCUAUUAUUUGAUUAAAAAUGCUGUUGAGCCAGCUGCCAUGCAGUACGUUUCACUACCCUGAUUCCUGGUGGAUUUAAAUCCAUAUUAAAAAUGUAGUCUAGCAUGAAUCAGCCUGUUGUCAAUGUUAAUGCAUACCUGGAAAAUUAAAAAAGCAAUCCAGCCUUCCUAGAAGUGGCCACCUCAGCCUCUAAUGCAGAAGGUGCUCAGUGGGGAAGAACUUCAAAUUUCAGAUAUCACAAGGCAGCAGUUUCAUAAGGCAAUGUCCUAAUUAUACCCACAAGUUUGCUUUUCAUCUUACCAUAAAACCAAACAAAACUCCCCUUCCAAAAGAACCAGACCUGAAAUAAAAGGUGGUUUCUGAGUUUUAAGAAUUAAAAGUAAAAGCUCUUGUUAUCUCAUUGAUGUGGUGAAGUAUUUAUUAGUGGAAGAUAAUUAUUAGGGAAGUUGCCCAGAGUAAAAAAAGAAUUUAUAGUUCAAGCCUAUUACUGCUAAUUUAUUUAGAAUGAAAGACUGUGUCAGGCAAAAAGCCCAUUUAAUUCAAGGAGGAUUUCUGCCUAAUGUGGAUUGCAGGAAUUUGUGCCAAGAGUAUAUGCUGUGAAUAAGCACUGAAAAUGUUGCUCAGCAGUGCAAGAAUAUUAAAAGCUUUAAGGCAAUCAUUUGCAAAGGUACACUUAAAGGCCCUUAAAAUAGCAAAUACAGUGAUGGUCAAAGCAAGCUGCAGACUACAGCUUCACUAGCUCUAAAAGGCGUCCAUCAGUAGCUCUGAAGAAAGCUGGUAUCAGUGCUCUCUUUGUAGCUUGCUUUGUUUAAUGGAUGGCCACAAAAUAAGUUUAAAAAGUUCUGAUGGCUUCAGAAAAGAGUCUCUCAAUAUACAGAUAUAAGAACAUGCAGAGCUAAGGCAAAGCCCAAGCCCACACCAACUCCUGGCAGUGUUAAGGGUAGACAGUGCUAGAAAUUUUCCUUAGAAAAACUAGAGAAGAAACAUAUGGAUAUUAAACUGAUUAAACUUAUCAACAUUAGUCCAUCUAAACUCCCAAGUAAUAGUUAUGUAAUUAUGAAAUACAGGAAGUUGCAGUCAUAAAAACUACUACUUGCUAUGAGAUAUGAUUUAGUAGAUAAGUGGGUAGUAAAUGGUGAUAGCAGGACAGUUGGACUGGAUGAUCUCAUAGGUUCUUGCCAACCUUGUGAUUCUAUCAUUCUAUGAUUCUAUCAUUCUAGAACUGAACAUAACUGGGAGGUCAAGUCACUACUGAAUCAGUUGGUAUAAUUGGAUGGUUGCUUGAGCUGAACAGUCUGAGCCUAGCUGGGAGUCAUCCAACACCUACACCACAGAAAACAUCACUGUAAUGGGAAGCUUUGGUGACAGUGUCUGCAGAGAGGCAAAUCCUCCAAGCCCCUUUCAAUCCAGUAAAGUGUUGUGGAGUGGCCCUGUGUUUGUUUGGUCAAGUGCCAAUUAAAAUGCGUUACACAUAUACACGCAGACAAAGCAAACAUCCUGCACAUACAGAAGACAUGCAACAUGACAAACAGUGGACACAUGAGAUUAUGGCAGAGGAGAUAUUAAGAAGGGAAUUAAAAGGAGAAAAUGAAGCUAAGUGUGCUGAUGUUUGCCCAGAACCCACCCUUAACUUUCCAAGAGCAAAGUGGAUGCUGGUUUGAAUACAUGGUCAGUGCUGAAGCUAGUAUCAGGUGAACUGGAGGGAUACAUGCAUGGAUGGGCCACGUGGGCUCUGGAUAAUAAAAGAGACUGCCUCUUAACUAUCACUAUUGAAAAAGGGAGUGAUAAAUAUUACAGAAAUGUUCACAAGAAAAUUAAUUUCAUUUUAAAUCAGGUUUGAAUAAGGUAAGAGCUACACAGGCUUCAUGUGGACCAUGCUUAGCAGUGGACUAUGGCAACACCUAAUGACCAUGGGCAUCCCCAUGGCUGACUCUAAACAUCUCAGCCCACCAGCAUCUCUGGAGGAAGAAACAUGCCUCAAUAUCUUUCACAGUUGAUUUUUUAAGCCCAGCAUACUAUUAGCUAUGUUGUAUAUUUUCAUGAGUUUUCAUCCUUUAAUGACUCCUAAAAUACCUGUUUGCAACAGUCAGGAACUGCUGUGCUCUAGGACUAUUUUGCUCUUUGAUAAAUUUAUUUACAUUUAUACUGCCUGCUAUUUAUUUCUGUUGGAAAAUAUUUCAGAUAGCGUUUUUUCUGUUGUCUCCUUAGCUCAGCCAUUGUACAAAGUUAAGAGAGCAGUGGAAUCUGAGAUCAGUUUGAGCUCAGUAAUAAAACCGAGUCUUAAAACACUUUCGUCUUUCAUGAUGUGACAACCUCAACAGCAAUGCUGCCUUUUAUGCAGUUGACCUUUGAGAUGGGCGACCUCUGACAUCUUCUUACUAAA